GAGGAACUUAUAGUGUUAUUAUUGUCUUUUCUAAAUCUAUAUACAUUAGAUAGUAUUCUAUUUAUUAGAUGUAGGUUUUCAGUACCAAAAUAUUUGGAAACAAAUUCUGAAAAAAUAUUUGCGAAAUUGUUUCACAUAUAUUCAAUCAGCUCAUCAGCUAAGAUUCUGUUAUUAGCCAUGAGUUGUUGCGGUGGUGGUUGUUGCUGGUGGCAGAAGAAGCCACCAAUAAAUCCUCAUCCUCCACCAAUACAUUCUCCUCCUCCACCAAUAAAUCCUCCUCCUCCUCCUCCAUCAGAUCCUUGUAUGCCAUCAACAGUUGAAAUUGGAGAUCACGAACCAUCUUCAUCCUCACCAACGCAGGCAGAGGUGUUGAAGAGCUUCGAAGAAGCGGAUAUUGAUAAGGCAGAUGAUUUCAUCAAUGCCAUUCAAGAACAGCUGGAAGUAGCGACAGCUCACAAGAAUGCACAGGAUGUUCCAAGCACAAGUUCUUCUAAUACAGACAAGUUGUCAAACUGGGCUUCCUUUACUCAGAGCGGGGCCACAUUUCUAAAAUUUGCUAGCGAUCAUACAGAAAAAAUUCACACUAAGGGUAACUUUUCUCAGUCGGGAGAAGUGACAAAAAUUGUAGGAGAUAUUCUUCAGCAAAUUGGGCAUCUGCAUUGGGCAGUUGCAGUUCUUUCUAUCGCGGGUUAUCUGGUAUCAAAAUGUCAAGAAGUGUCCGAGAACCGGGCCGAAUAUGUAGAUUUCUUAAAAGAAAUGCUCAAACUUGCAUCUCAUAUUAAGCGCUUAAACAAUCUUUCACUUGAAAAUGGAAACAAGGAGGUUUUGAAAAAUUCGUUUCAAUAUAUUGUUGAAGGAUCGAUAUUUUGUGCUUCCCAACUAGAUUCGGGAAUUUAUUUCAGCUUCUUGAAAUCAUCAAUAAACUCUGGCACUUUGAGCGGUAUUCGUUCCAAGAUAGAUAGCAUUUAUCAAAAUCUACAACUAAUUGCUGGAAUAGAAACGUUAGAGCAGCAGCCAACUGUUCUUCCUCUAUCACAGACAGUCUAUCCAAAAAAUGCAGUUGGACUUGAAGAACAAGUGGAAGCAAUAAAUACGUUGCUCAACAUGAAUAAAAACGAAGAUUGCUUGACGAGUGCCGUUGUUAUUUGGGGGUUAGGUGGCAUUGGGAAGACAAUCCUCGCACAAGCUGUUGUUUCCACAGUAAAUAGAGAGAGUUACAACUAUGCCAGAAUUGAAUUAGACCAGGUUUCUGAUAAAAACAACUAUAAAAUAAUGCAACAGCAAAUAUUGAAAGAUGCCUUUCCGAGCUAUAAUGGUGGGAAGGAAGUAAUUCUGAGAGAUGAUUCAGAUGGUCGGGAUAAAUUAACAGAGGCUUUUCAAAGUGAAAGAAAUAAGCCUGUGUUUUUGUUUAUAGAUAAUGCCCUGCACAAGAAGGACCUGGAGAAAAUUCUGCCGGAAGACCUGCGAAGUCUUCCCCAGCGUAGCAGAAUACUUGUUACAACCAGGAUCUUGACUGUCACAAAUUUGCUCCAAGAACGCGGCCUUCAGCGCAAGGACUAUCCUGUGAAAACUCUCUCUGACAAUCAUGCAGCGGAAGUUCUGUGCAGUGAUCCUGCCAUUCGUGAUGGUAUCAAAGAUGAUAUAGAAAAGAUGCUGAAGCUCUGCAAUGGGAUACCGUUGGUUCUGAAAAUGGUUGGUGCGCAUUUGCGCAAGCAGAAAUAUAAAGUAGAUCGUUGUACGCAGAUGCUUGGAGCUUUGCAAAGCGGAGGGAAGAUCAAAGAAAAUGAUCUGAGCAACCGGAUGUUUGAUUUUGUGUAUGAGAAGCUGGACGAGUCUACCAAAGACAUAUGCUGCUUCUUUGAUAAGGGUUUCUCUCGCCGAAUUGCAGAGUACAUUGUGGGGGCUGAGGAAAUCGCAUUCCUUCAAGAGGCGGCACUGAUAACGACGGUCAUAGGAAACCCACCUUUUUUGGGGAGGUUGGAGAAAUCAGUGGACCCAGAGGAGAAUCCUCUCAUCGUCGAGGCGCUGGAAAAAAUUGAAUUUGAGAGGAGGUACCGCGAGGAGGUGGAGCUGUUGUCUGUUCAUGAUAUUAUUCGAUCAAUAGGGCGCAGCUUGUCAAAACCCAGUAGAAUUACGGAUUUGAAAUCCUGGAGUGAAGCUGAAAAGGAUGAGAGCAAGCUCAAAGGAAUCAAAGGAAUUUGGCUUAAAAAUGAAGAUUGCGUGCUUGAGAAAAGACACAUUAAUUUGAUGGAGGACACAUUAAGAAUUCUGGUCUGGACAGGGUGUAGUAUAAAUGUUAGCGGUACAGAUGCAGUGAGAUUCCCAGAGUUAAGAUAUAUGAGAAUAGGUGGUGAUAUUUGUUGGGUGAAUGUAGAAGCACUUGAUAAACUGGCUGUGUUGGAGUGUUUGAAGCUUCCCAUUAAUAAGCAGAGAGGUCCUCUCAAGUUACCAAACAAUUUAAGAUGCAUAACAGUCCAAAAGCAGCCAGCUGUGAAAGAAGACUUCGUGCCAAACUCCUCCUUGGAAGAAUUAGAUAUAACUUUUGAAUUUGAAAAAGAUGGUGGAGUAACAGACAACAGUGAAAAUGCAUUUUAUAGCCGUCUUCAUGGCUUAAAUAAGUUGAAGACUCUGAGAGUGGAGAGAUGUUAUUCUUUAUGCGAGCUUAAUCCUCAGGAUUUUUGUGGAUUAUCGCAGUUGAAUCAACUCUUUAUAACGACUUGUUUUAACCUUGAGCGUCUGCCAGAACCGUUGGGCCAGCUGAAAAGUCUAACAAACUUGAACCUGUCAUGGUGCACAAGUUUGAAAGAAUGGCCAGAAUCGUUCGGGCAGCUGAAAAAUCUAACAAACUUGAACCUGUCAGGGUGCCAAAGUUUGAAAGAAUUGCCAGAAUCGUUCGGGCAGCUGAAAAGUCUAACAAACUUGGACCUGUCAAGGUGCACAAGUUUGAAAGAAUUGCCAGAAUCGUUCAGCAGCUGAAAAGUCUAACACAUUUGGACCUGUCAAGGUACACAAGUUUGAAAGAAUUGCCAGAAUCGUUCGGGCAGCUGAAAAGUCUAACACAUUUGGACCUGUCAUGGUGCACAAGUUUGAAAGAAUUGCCAGAAUCGUUCAGGCAGCUGAAAAGUCUAACAAACUUGAACCUGUCAGGGUGCCAAAGUUUGAAAGAAUUGCCAGAAUCGUUCAGGCAGCUGAAAAGUCUAACACAUUUGGACCUGUCAAGGUACACAAGUUUGAAAGAAUUGCCAGAAUCGUUCGAGCAGCUGAAAAGUCUAACACAUUUGGACCUGUCACGGUGCACAAGUUUGAAAGAAUUGCCAGAAUCGUUCGGGCAGCUGAAAAGUCUAACACAUUUGGACCUGUCAUGGUGCACAAGUUUGAAAGAAUUGCCAGAAUCGUUCGGGCAGCUGAAAAGUCUAACAAACUUGAACCUGUCAGGGUGCCAAAGUUUGAAUGAAUUGUCAGAAUCGUUCGGGCAGCUGAAAAGUCUAACAAACUUGAACCUGUCAGGGUGCCAAAGUUUGAAUGAAUUGCCAGAAUCGUUCGGGCAGCUGAAAAGUCUAACACAUUUGGACCUGUCAAGGUACACAAGUUUGAAAGAAUUGCCAGAAUCGUUCGAGCAGCUGAAAAGUCUAACACAUUUGGACCUGUCAUGGUGCACAAGUUUGAAAGAAUUGCCAGCAUCGUUCGAGCAGCUGAAAAGUCUAACACAUUUGGACCUGUCAUGGUGCACAAGUUUGAAAGAAUUGCCAGAAUCGUUCGGGCAGCUGAAAAGUCUAACAAACUUGAACCUGUCAGGGUGCCAAAGUUUGAAUGAAUUGCCAGAAUCGUUCGGGCAGCUGAAAAGUCUAACAAACUUGAACCUGUCAGGGUGCCAAAGUUUGAAUGAAUUGCCAGAAUCGUUCGGGCAGCUGAAAAGUCUAACAAACUUGAACCUGUCAGGGUGCCAAAGUUUGAAUGAAUUGCCAGAAUCGUUCGGGCAGCUGAGAAGUCUAACACAUUUGGACCUGUCAGAGUGACAAAGUUUGAAAGAAUUGCCUGUUACCUUUGGUGAACUUGAAGCUCUGCAGCAUUUAGAUUUGUAUGGUUGUUCGAAGUUUGAGUCGGACAUUUGCCUGAUGGAUGACACCAUCAAAAUUGUACAGAAGAGUGAGCAUAUUUGUACCGACUGCAGAAAGGACAAAAAAUUGAAUAUUUAUAGAUACUAAUGAUGGUGUCGAUUGUGCUCCGAGAGCACAUUGUACACACAAAAGAAUUUGCGGUUACCAAAAGUAAAUAGAAUUGUAAUCAUGUCUCUCUUAAUUUAAUGUCCAAAGUAAAUGUAUAUUUUAAGUUACGGUUAACAUAAAUAUUAA